rnacentral:lncRNA from 1 species
AAAAGAAGGAACAGAAACGUAAAACUUUAAUAUCAUAAAUCAAAGAGUUUAAGCACAAUGUUAAUCAAAUCUUUUACAAAAAAAAUACUCAACGGAAGAAAAAGGAAGAAAAAAGGAAACAAAAUGUAGUAUCUCGUUGCAGUAUUCACAAGAGAGAAAGAGAGAUAGGAAGAAUCCCUAUGGGACGGUGGAUCCCUAAGGGACAAACAACAGCUAGGAGGAGAAGAAAGUAAAUCGUUGAAACUCACCCUUGACGCGCCCUUCGUCUGACGCACCGAAACCGAAAAUUAAAUGUCUCGUACGAGGAUAUUACCGCGACUACUACGAUAAGCACGUUUUGCUCUCAUACAUGAAUAAUAUACGAGUUGGUAGU